rnacentral:lncRNA from 1 species
CGAAUAGGUCCCUUUGGUAUUUGAUCCCUGACUUAGUGAAGGAGAAUAAUUCAUUAGAAAGACAUCCACUGUCUCCUGGUAUACCUUUGCCCAAGGACAGAAGGAAUGCUAGACGAGCCCAUCUGUGCUGGCUCUCAAUAAGUUCAAGAAGGCCAUUGGAACCUUGGUUACAUCCUUGGAGCUCACAAGUGAAAUCCAUCUUCUGAAGGAAUACAAGUCUGAGUGUGUUUUCUGAUCAUCAGAAGAAGGAAACAAGGGUGGUUAUAAAGAUGAAAAAUGGUACUAGGGAGAGGCCAUCCUCCAAUCCUGGCUUUUGAGGAAGUACGGGAUAGCAAGAAGAGUAAUGGCCCAGGAAUCAAGUAGACCUGAUUCAAGUCUCAGCUUAAUAGCACUUUGACCCUAGGCAG